CCUACGGGAGGCUGCAGUGGGGAAUAUUGCACAAUGGGGGAAACCCUGAUGCAGCAACGCCGCGUGGGUGAAGGAGCGUUUCGGCGCGUAAAGCCCUGUCAGCGGGGAAGAAGAAAGACGGUACCCGACCAAGAAGCCCCGGCUAACUACGUGCCAGCAGCCGCGGUAAUACGUAGGGGGCGAGCGUUAUCCGGAAUUACGGGGUGUAAAGGGAGCGUAGACGGCGGGGUAAGCCUGAAGUGGAAGCCCGGGGCCCAACCGCGGAACUGCUUUGGGAAAUGUUUGGCUGGAGUGGGGGAGGGGUAAGUGGAAUUCCUGGUGUAGCGGUGAAAUGCGUAGAUAGUAGGAGGAA
rnacentral:rRNA from 1 species